UGAAUAAUGAUCAGGCUGGCCUGCUUGCCUCCUUGAUCCCAACUCCAAGGUGCCAUUUUCUGAUGAUAGGUUAUACACCAUUGAUCAACGCCAGGUAACUUUGGUUCCCGAGUUGUUACGUUGGACAGGCAGCAUGUUUGGAUUUAGGUCUCAUGUACUUACUUUGUAGUUGCCUUUGGUUGGUUUAAAUUUGGGACCAGUGGAUUUGUUUCAGACUUCCAACAUUUGGUUUCCUGUUUUUCUUGUGGCAGGCUUGACCUGAUUUAAGUUUCUGCAGAACCUUUUUUCCUUGUGUGCUAGAUUUUUCAGCUCAAGAAGAUCCACCCUACAACUGUCUGCAAAGUUUAUAUGCAUGGUUAAUAUUGAGGAUUCUUCUGGUUGGAGCUCCUCGAGGAUCAUCAGUAACCUAGAAAGUGUGCUCUGGAUGUUGGGUCAGCUGCAUAUCAGACUUGAAUAUCCGGUUUUAACCGAUGGUUAAACUAAAUAAAUUAUGAAAAUGGAAACAUAAUUGGUUACUUGGAGUCAAUUUGUCUGCAUAUGCUCGAGGUGCGCUUGCUCUUCCUCUUGAUUACAACGACAUCUACCAGCAAAGUCUAAGGUAAUAGUAAUUUGACAUGCUGUAGUUAUAUAAGUGACUAUGCAGUUCAGUG